UAAGGAAUAUUGCGCAAUGGGCGACAGCCUGACGCAGCGACGCCGCGUGUGUGAAGAAGGUCUUCGGAUUGUAAAGCACUUUAAGUUGGGAGGAAGGGCAGUAAAUUAAUACUUUGCUGUUUUGACGUUACCGACGGAAUAAGCACCGGCUAACUCUGUGCCAGCAGCCGCGGUAAUACAGAGGGUGCAAGCGUUAAUCGGAAUUACUGGGCGUAAAGCGCGCGUAGGUGGUUCGUUAAGUUGGAUGUGAAAUCCCCGGGCUCAACCUGGGAACUGCAUUCAAAACUGACGAGCUAGAGUAUGGUAGAGGGUGGUGGAAUUUCCUGUGUAGCGGUGAAAUGCGUAGAUAUAGGAAGGAACACCAGUGGCGAAGGCGACCACCUGGACUGAUACUGACACUGAGGUGCGAAAGCGUGGGGAGCAAACAGGAUUAGAUACCCCUGUAGUCCCUGAGCGGGCUGGCAAGGCGCAU
rnacentral:rRNA from 1 species